rnacentral:rRNA from 1 species
UACAGAGGUCUCAAGCGUUGUUCGGAUUCAUUGGGCGUAAAGAGCUCGUAGGCGGCUCGUUGCGUCAACCGUGAAAACCCGGGGCUUAACUUCGGGCUUGCGGUUGAUACGGGCGGGCUGGAGUUCGGUAGGGGAGACUGGAAUUCCUGGUGUAGCGGUGAAAUUCGUAGAUAUUCGGAAGAACACCAGUGGCGAAGGCGACUGACUGGACAAGUAUUGACGCUGAGGUGCGAAAGCGUGGGGAGCAAACAGG